UACCCUGUCCUCAUCACUAAGAGGAAGGUGAAAAGCUAUGUGGGAUUGGUAGGGUGGUACAGAAAAUUUGUCCCCCAUUUUGCACAGAGAACCAUAAUGCUGAAUGACUUAAUCAAGGACUCUGUCCCCAACAAGGUGCACUGGACAGAGGAGUGUGACAGAAGCGUUCAAAAACCUUAAGGAAGCCAUCUGCACCCAACGAUAAGCUGUUCAUCCUGCAGACAGAUGCCUCAGGAAUGGGCCUUGGAGUGUCCCUCCUACAAGAGACAAAUGAAGAGAGGAGACAAGAGAGGCUCCUGAGCCGAAAGCUGUUGGACAGAGAGAUACUCAAGCACUCAAGGCAGCGCUUUUUCCUACAGACUGACCAUUAUGUAUCUAAUGGCUGAAUUGCAUGAGAGACACCAACACUUGCACCUCUUCUUGCAGCCAUAUGACUUCACCAUCCACUACCGGCCAGGGUAGUCUAAUGUGUUGGCUGAUUGUUUGUCUAGAGUAUUGAAGGAGUGAGGUGCAGUGCUCCUACACGAGAGGGAGUGGAAAUGUUACAAAGAGGUACUUAGUCACCAGAAAAAUAUAAAUUCCACUCGGUUUUAGGUCACUUUUGCACUUGAGCUAGCACUCUGCCCUAAAAGAUAGAGUUGCACAUUAAGAAACAGACAGUUGCUCACGGAAUGUCUUAAUUAUUUAAUGAGUAUUUAUUGAAUAUUUUAACAUUUUGCAUGUGGUUCUGUGUCUGCCAGACACUGAAGUCACUAUUUGGUUGACAAAUUUGAAAAUGUAUUCUUUAAUUAGUAUAUGCUGCAAUGCAACAGAAAUGCAAUAGUGUACGUAAUGUAUUAGUGGAGCACUCACGUGUAUUUUUUAUUGUGCCCUCGGGGGUCUGUAGACCUAUUCAAAGGUUCCUGAAAGAACUACAAGAUUAGAUAGCAUGGGGGAACUGUUUGUGGGCAUUUAGGUGUUUGGUUGGGGUUGUUUAACUGGUAUUAAUGUGAAUUAAUUUUGGUUUGUGUGAAUUUUAAUUGUAUAUUUGAAACAUGGAGAAAUAUUACAUGGUUUAAACGCCAUUUGUAAAAGUAGAAUCAUCCUUGUUGGGCUAGAAGAAGUUGCAGUAAUUUCGGCUCUUCAGCAGCACAGAAAAAAAAUGCUGUCUGUUUCCCACUCUUGUGCUGCUGCUGGUGUUGGCCACACAUGCUUCACAACAACUCCAUGUUUUCUCACUAUUUACUUUUAAAGUGUUUGGAGUGAAUAAAUCACCAAAUGGUUGGUCUGCAGCAUACUGCCUUAGCCUCCAUCACUUGAUACCAGCUGCACAUUGGUCAUUCGUUACACUGCCCUUUAAAAAUAGAUUGGUUCUAUGGGUGUCAAUAGUCUCACUGCAGUAAAAGCACGAAGAGCCUAAAGAAGGCAAGGAGCCAGGGGAACUCGUAAAUUGGAAUUAUUUCAUUUAUUGUGAAAAAAGAAAGAAAACUUUAACGAUUAGUUUGAAAUAAUCCUACAUGUAGGCUACAUGUUUUUUCCACCUCCAGAAUAGAUUUCAUAAAUGCUAAUAAAACCGUUAGAACUGGAGCUGAAAUAAACCAACAGCAGUCCUCAUUCAAACAGAAGACGUGCAAAAAAAGGAGACAAAGCUGUGAGGGCUGUGCGCAGAAUGUUUGCAAGCUUUACUUCUGUUCCACUGCUCCCCUCCCUCAUUCCCUCCACCCCAGUUAGCUGGAGACACAGAAAAACAGAGGCUGUUUGGGAAAAAAAUGGAGGCAAAACGGAGCUACACAAAGGCAGCGCUUGCUUUCUCCAUUGCCUGCUUACUAAUCGGCGUCUUUGCUGUGCUCGAUCCAUGCCUGUCGCCUGUAACACGGCAGCAUUGCCAUGGCGACCAGGGUCUGAGUAAUCAUUUGUGCAGUGACCCCUAUUCUCCAGAGGAAAGACGGAGGGUUGGAAGAGCUGAGGGGGGAGGAGGCUGGAAUGAAAGCAGAGCCAGCAAAAGCAGAGGAAGGGAGGGAGGAAGGGAAAGAGGGAGGGGUGGUGAGCAGCAGAGCAAAGCAAUAGGGACCCAGACAGAAAGAAAGAAAAUAGAUUUUCUUUCUACUAGCAGCAGGGAAAGAACCUUUUAUGUUUUUAUAUAACGAACAGAACUUGCUCUAAAAAGUAGGCACAUGGAGAGCACAAGUUUAAGAAUAUAGCUGCAAAUGGCAAUUAGCAGGGUCCAGGAACAUUGUCUGAAUAAAUGCAUUGUAAAAAGUGUCAACAUGUGUGAGAACAUGGUUCACAACAAAGAGUGGAAAACAAAAUGCACACAGCAAGUUUUCCUAGCUGGAUCAAACUAGUGAUUCUGCUGUCACAGGGCAUGUGUCUAGAUCACUAGACACACGCAGUAGGCUUUGCAAGUUGAGUGGGUCUGAACUGAGUUGAAUCCUUCCUCUCGAAGACAUACAUUAUAAAACGAUGCAACAAUCUCCUCACUGAACUGCACAUUUUGAUGUUUGACUAGAUACUAGAUGCACAUCACAGUUUGGUGCUAUAAUGAGGCUCCAAGUACCCUGGUGAAAUUCAGACCAACAGCUUGAUUGACACAAGGCAAUCAAGAAACAUUGACACUGCUUGUCAGAUGGCCUACUUUAUGGAUGCUUUAAUGUAGCAAAACUAUUUACAAAUGUGAGUGGAGAGUUGUGUAACUGUAUCUGGAUCUAUGUGUGUGUAAUCAGAUGUGUGUCUUGAAAUGCGUUCUGGGAUCUGCAAAUGUGUAUUCAGAAUCUGUGUGUGUGCAUAAUCAGAUGUGUAAAUGUGUAAAAUAAAAAGUCUCCAAUUCCCUAUUAAAAUUUGCAUGUUAUGUUUUGAGAUCUGCGAUGCAUAGACAACAAACGCUGACCUGCCAGUGAGGGAUAGAGGAUAGAGCAGCAGUUCCCAAUCUUUUCCAACUCGUGGCCCACUUUUAAAUCCCAAAAAUAUUGGCGGCCCACAUCCGAAUGCGUAACAAUACACAGGCCAAAUAAUGUGUUCUCAGAGCACUUUUUAUUUGAAUGAAAGUGAUUGGAAAAUUCAGGACUGAAGUGAAAACAGGGCAAACAUGUAGCUCAAUUCCUCCUCUCCGUUUGACAGGGGGUAGAUCACUUGUCAAUUCACCAGCUGUCUUUUGACUCUUUCCUUUUAAUUAUUCCCGUCGGUAACUAAUUCUUGAUACUCUUUGCCAUGUUUGUUAUAAUUUUGUAUGUUAUGUGUUAUAAUGCUAUAAUGAUACCUGCCUCCAUUGGGCUGGUAACCUGUGUUAAGUAUAGACUGUGGGGGUGUUCAGCCAAAGCCCAAUAAAAAAGCUUAAAGUUAAAUUUAACCAAUUAACAUUGGUUAAAGAUAACAAUGUUUGUUUUGUGUUUCUGGAACAUUUGACCCAGUUUAAGUGUAUUGAGAUUGGAUUGAGAAUGCUUGGGUAAGUAAUAAGUGCAGAAGAAAUCAGGAGAAAGGGGAAGCUUUUAUUGAUUUUUAUCUAGAACCAAGGAAUUCUUCACUGAGUUUUUGGUCUUUUUUUGUUUUUGUGGGUUUUUUUCUUUUCUUUUUUUUGGGAUAUAGCAUAGCUCUCCUGUGCUGGUGAAGACUCUCUCAUAAUGACAACGGAGCUUGCUCUAUACAAAAACUUUAUGUAAACAAAGGUUUUAUCCAGAGAGUGAUGAGGAAAGGCCAGGGUUCAUCCCCCAGGGAACAGGAUGCGCUCAAUGAAUUGAAAUUAAUAAUUGUUUGAGAUAUGGAUAUUUAUUGGAUAAAUAGAGUACAUUUUGGACUGAUGGUAGUGUUACAGGAAUUAUCACUUGGAUUCAUCUUCUGAAAACCUUGAACAUCCACUCCUUCAUUGCAUCAGUUUCAAGAUGUCUUGCUUUGCAACUGUUGUAGCAACAAAUUAACAGAUGAUAAAAAAGUAUAAAAACAAAGAUAGUAGAGAGAAAGCAGUAUGCAUAUAUAUUAAAGUGUCACAGUCUUAGUUUCCCUCCUAUUGUUUCCUCUUUUUUGCCUAAUUUCUCCUGUGUCUGUGUCCUGUAUGUGGAUGUGUCUUUCUGUGUCUCUCUGUGUUGUGUGUCUGGGGCUGGGCGGAGAGUCUGCUGUUCUGGUGCCACCUUCAUCACACACCUGCAGACAAUCAACAGUCAACAGCUCACCUACACUGCUGCCAGAUAAAAGGACCGGUUCAUUCCUCCGCUCUCCACCAGAUCAUCUGUGUACCCUUGUGGUCCUCCAUCUAUGGUUCAAGUUCACUGCGCCUCAGUAAGUGGAUCCAGACCUCCAUCCAGCUCCAGCUCUCUGCUCCUGCCUGGCUUAAGGACCAGCUCUGUAUACUGCCUUUCCUCACAGAAAUCUGGAUCAACCAGCCUACCCUGCUACUGCCCUGAAGAACACCCUCCAGAUCCCAGAGAAGCCCUCCAGCCCUGGCUCAGCUAAGCACAUUUGCCUAUUCACAAACUGUACAAUAAAAUACCUUGUUAUACCACAAGCCCGUCUCUGAGUCUGUGUCUGCUGCAUUGAUCCACGUUGUCAUGUUCAUUAUAACGGAACAAUCUGGCCACCAUGGAUCAAGCAGACACAGGUCUCGGGUCCUUGCCUAUCCACCGAGCAGUAACUCACCAGGGAACCAUAAUGGGUCAUCAUGAUCAAAGCAUUCGAUCCCUAUCUGAGUCAAAUCGGGCCCUGGCGGCAAAUGUCAAUUGGAUGGAGGAGACACUCAGAGCAGUCUACAUCAAAGGGUUAAGUGAGCAAUUAAAGGAUGAAUUAAUGUCUCAAGAUGAUCAAACUACCCUACACUGUUUGGUCACCUUAGCAAACUGUAUCAACAAUCGUCUCCGGGUUCGUAGUCGGGGGGGGGGGGGGGCACUCAUCAGCUUCUACCUCAGCACCUCAUCCGAUCCCACAUCCACCUCGCCCGGCCCCGCUCCGUCACCUGCCACUCCACCUGCCUCAGAGGAACCCAUACUACUAGGUCGAGCACACCUUACCCCAGAGGAACGCCAAUUCCGCCACCUGGCAGAUCUAUGAGUGGCAGAGAAGGCAAGGAUUGUGCUGGAGCUUUUGGAGGAACCUCAGACUGCAGUGGCUCUUGAUGACAGAUUAGUGGCAAGGUUCUCCUGGAUCCCAGAAGCUGAGUACGCUUUCACCAGACUCAAAGAACUGUUCACUUCCGCCCCCAUUCUGACAACCUGACCCGGCUCAACAGUUCAUAGUGGAGGUGGAUGCCUUGGACACUGGUGUUGAGUUGUCCUCUCUCAAAGGUUUGGUCCAGAUAACUGUUUACAUCCCUGUGCCUUUUUUCUCUUUCAGUGUUUGUCCCCAGCAGAGAGAAACUACAACAUAGGAAAUCAUGAGCUGUUGGCUGUGAAGAUGGCCUUGGAAGAGUGGAGACAUUGGCUGGAGGGGGCAGAACAUCUGUUCCUGGUUUGGACCUACCAUUUUAAAAACUUGGCUUAUAUCCAGUCUGCCAAGCAUCUCAAUUCUCACCAGGCCCGAUGGGUCCUUUGCUUCAUCUGGUUCAAAUUCACCCUAACUUAUUGUCAAGGAUCCCGCAAUGUAAAACCAGAUGCUUUGUCCUGCCAGUUUGCCCAGGAAGAAACCCCUGUAGCCUGUGAAUCCAUAAUUUUACCUACCUUUGUGGUCACAGAAGUCUCUCAGGAGAUUGAAAACAUCAAGGUGGCUCAGCACUCUCAGCCUGACCCAGGUAACAGUCCUCCGGGACAUCUCUUUGUACUGGACUCUGUUCGUCAGGAUUGCAGUACCUGGUGGACCAGGAGGGGUACGGACCUGAGGAACAGUCAUGUGUUCCCCAGUCUCUGAUUCUGUACCCAGUGGAGAGUCUGCUGUUCUGGUGCCACCUUCAUCACACACCUGCAGACAUCAGUCAGCAGGCCACCUACACUGCUACCAGUUAAUUCCUCCACUCUCCACCAGAUCAUCCAUGUACACUUGUGGUAUUGUUUGGCCCAGCUCUCUGUUCCUGCCCUGCUUUACGGACAAGCUCUGUAUACUGCCUCUGCUCCCAGAAAUCUGGAUCAACCUGCCUACCCUGCUACUGCCCCAAAUAGCCCCCUCCAGGUCCCAAAGAACCAGGACUCAAACCCAAGCCCCAACUCAACUAAGCACAUUUGCCUAUUCACAAACUGUACAA